rnacentral:rRNA from 1 species
CGAACGCUGGCGGCAGGCUUAACACAUGCAAGUCGAGCGGACCUUUCGGGGUCAGCGGCGGACGGGUGAGUAACGCGUGGGAACGUGCCUUCUGGUUCGGAAUAACCCUGGGAAACUAGGGCUAAUACCGGAUACGCCCUUAUGGGGAAAGGUUUACUGCCGGAAGAUCGGCCCGCGUCUGAUUAGCUAGUUGGUGGGGUAACGGCCUACCAAGGCGACGAUCAGUAGCUGGUCUGAGAGGAUGAUCAGCCACACUGGGACUGAGACACGGCCCAGACUCCUACGGGAGGCAGCAGUGGGGAAUAUUGGACAAUGGGCGCAAGCCUGAUCCAGCCAUGCCGCGUGAGUGAUGAAGGCCCUAGGGUUGUAAAGCUCUUUUAUCCGGGACGAUAAUGACGGUACCGGAGGAAUAAGCCCCGGCUAACUUC